UUUUCUUAGUAGCGGCGAGCGAAAAGAAAUUAGUUCAGCACUAAGUCACUUUGUUUUUAUGGCAAAUGUGAGAUGCAGUGUUUGGUACGUCUUCAAUCUAGUAUGAGAAAUUAACGAUUUAAGUCCUUCUUAAAUGAGGCCAAUUACCCAUAGAAGGUGCCAGGCCCGUAUAACGUUAAUGAUUACUAGAAGGCGCUUCCGAAGAGUCGUGUUGCUUGAUAGUGCAGCACUAAAUUGGUGGUAAACUCCAUCUAAAACUAAAUAUAACCAUGAGACCGAUAGUAAACAAGUACCGUGAGGGAAAGUUGAAAAGAACUCUGAAUAGAGAGUUAAAUAGUACGUGAAACUGCUUAGAGGUUAAGCCCGAUGAACCUGAAUAUCCGUUAUGGAAAAUUCAUCAUUAGAAUUGUAAUAUCUUUAAAAAAAUAUUAUAAUGAUAGUGUGCAUUUUUUUCAUAAAAGGACAUUGUAAUCUAUUAAUAUAAAGAAGAAAAUAUUUAUCAAAAAUUCAUUAACUUUUAGUUUAUUCAAAUUAUUUUGCUUGCAUUAUAACAUAGAAUAAAUGUUUAUGAUUUGAUAAAGUGUUGAUAGAUUUAUCAUAUAUACAGUGCUUUAAUUUUUCGAAAUUAUAUAAUGGCAUAAUUAUCAAUGAUUUUUAUGUUUAUUAUAUGCACUUGUAUGAUUAACAAUGCGAAAGAUUCAGGAUACCCUCGGGACCCGUCUUGAAACACGGACCAAGGAGUCUAACAUAUAUGCAAGUCAUUGGGAAUUUAUAAACUUAAUGGCAUAAUUAACUUAACUUGUUUAUUUAUGGGAUUAGUUUUUAAACUAUUUAUAGUUUAUUAACACAAUCCCGGGGCGUUCUAUAUAGUUAUGUAUAUUAAUAUUUAUAUUAUUU
rnacentral:rRNA from 1 species